UCCUACGGGAGGCAGCAGUGGGGAAUAUUGCACAAUGGGGGAAACCCUGAUGCAGCCAUGCCGCGUGUGUGAAGAAGGCCUUCGGGUUGUAAAGCACUUUCAGUAGGGAGGAAGGUAGUGUAGUUAACACCUGCAUUAUUUGACGUUACCUACAGAAGAAGCACCGGCUAACUCCGUGCCAGCAGCCGCGGUAAUACGGAGGGUGCGAGCGUUAAUCGGAAUUACUGGGCGUAAAGCGCAUGUAGGCGGCCUGUUAAGUCAGAUGUGAAAGCCCGGGGCUUAACCUCGGAAUUGCAUUUGAAACUGGCAGGCUAGAGUCUUGUAGAGGGGGGUAGAAUUUCAGGUGUAGCGGUGAAAUGCGUAGAGAUCUGAAGGAAUACCGGUGGCGAAGGCGGCCCCCUGGACAGAUACUGACACUCAGAUGCGAAAGCGUGGGGAGCAAACAGGAUUAGAUACCCUGGUAGUCCACGCCGUAAACGAUGUCUACUUGGAGGUUGUGGCCUUGAGCCGUGGCUUUCGGAGCUAACGCGUUAAGUAGACCGCCUGGGGAGUACGGUCGCAAGAUUAAAACUCAAAUG
rnacentral:rRNA from 1 species